UAUUAUAUUAUCUUCGACGAAUUUAAUUCUCCCUCUCAUUUUUAUUUGACAAAAAAAACUAAUAAAAAAACACUCUGAGUCUCAUGUAUAUGAAAGAGUCCUCUCAUCGUCAUCCUUAAAACCUAGCCGCAAUAACACCCAUAGGAUCUUAGAUGCCAAUUAAUUCUCGAAGGUAUGAUUGAAUUUUAAACCUCAAAUUUCAGUUUUUGAUUUAAAUCAUGAGAACCUCUCAAAUGCACAGGUACGGGGUACACAUUUCUUAGGUGUUCUUUUCUGAUUCUGAUUUUCAUUUUUAUAUGUGUUGCUUGUAAUUUUUUUAUAUUCAAUUCUCUUACUCUUACUAUAUUUAAUGUUGAUACAUCUUCUAAUGGGCCACAAAACAAAAUUGUAAGUCUUAUGGAGGGACAUAUUUGGAUCGAAAGUCAAACUCCUGGCAAGGGGUGACUCUGAGUUUGCUAUAUUUUUCAAUAAACUUGGUGUUCCUGGACAUGUAAGUGAAUAUAAGCACCCCAUUAUGACAAACUUGCCAGCAAAUCAGGCAUGAGUUUGUAAUGAUUAAAGGUUUUGGUCAUGGAUGAAUGGGUGAGUACUAUCUGAAGCGCAAAUGGCAAGAUUUAGCCAUGGUUAUUUGAUUUUUGUUCUGAUGUGUUCUUUUUCGACAUAAUUUGUUUAAAGUUGGAGUAAAAAUAAAGAGUUCUUACUUAUGGCGAUUAGAAUUUUGUUCUAGUGUUCUUUAGUUACCAGUUAUAUGUUUGACUAAAAAUGGUUAGUGUUUCAUUGAGUAUGUUUGGAUAUUCGUUCUAAUGUUCUUUGUAUUUGCUUAAUCUAUUAAAACUUGUAGCGCAAAUUAGGUUUUAGUUAUAACUAUUCAAAGCGAGUUUUUAGCUAUGUGAUUUGGAACUUGUUCUAAUGUUCUCUCCAUUAACGUAAUUUGCUAAAAGAUGGAGUGAAAAUUUGGAGUUUUUUGCCAUGGAGUUCUUACUUGUAUUGAGUACCCCAAAUAGAUAUUGAGUUUUAAAUGUUACUUGCAUUGAGUUGUCUUACUAACUCUUUCAUGAACUGAACAUAAAAAUACAUAACAAGAGGUAAUCAUGGAAUGUAAAAUUUUUAAGAACACCACUGCUUGUGCUAUGUCUACAUAAGUGUAUGAAAUUAGAAUCUUAACAACUAUAUAUGGAUGUCGUGGUGACAUAUACAUAGGAAAGUAUGCCUUUAUCAAAUUGAUAGAAGGAUGGAAUGCAUGUAUCAAACUAGAAUGUGGCAGUUUUGUAUUCUCGUAAGUCCAUCACAUUAUAUGUAUCUUUGUAGGGUGAAAAACUCCUUUAGUGAAUACUUCUGAUAAUUUUUUUUGGCAUCUCGUUUCUAUUUUUACAACAGCAUCUGAUUUCAGUGGAGCUUAAUCAACAAUGUAUAUUUCUAUGAACACAAGAAGGACAACCUCUAGAAGAGUAGAAGAAGAGAUUGCUAAUGCGAGAGUUCCUACCUAAGGCAAUUGAGUUCCUCCUCAAUAUCAAGUUCCCAUGAAUGAUAAAGUUUCGGUUAAUCCUCUGCCCAUGACAGAUGGUGAUGUGAGGGCAUCCCUUCUCCAAAUGUCCAAGGCCAUCAUUACUUAAGCUCAAGCCAUAAUGGCACAAGCAAAUCGGGAGGUUGCACCACAAGAGAACAAAUAUUCUUGUACCAUGGCUACUCUUUUGAGAGAUUUAAUGAGGAUGAAUCCUCUUGUGUUCUUUGGAUUAAAGGUUGAUAAAGACCCCGAAGGAUUACUUGAUAAGGUCUAUAAGAUUUUGUUAGUUAUAAAGGUGAGUACUACUUAAAAUUUCAAGUUUGAUUCCAAUCAACUCAUGGACGUGGCUUAGACAUGGUACAAUCAAUGGAAGGAUAGUCGGUAUUUAGGAGGUGGUCCCGUCGCUUGGGAGAUCUUCAAGAAGGUCUUUCAUGAUAGGUUCUUCCUAAGGGAGCAAAGGGAAGAUAAGGUAGAGGAGUUCAUCAACUGACGUUAAGGAGGUAUUAGUGUUAAGGAAGACUCCUAAAAGUUCAUGAAGUUAUCCUAAAAUUCUUCCUCUUUGGUUUCAAAAUAUUGGAAUGCAAUGAGUUGUUAUGUAACAGGCAUGUUCGAAGAGCUUGAAAAAGAAUGUAGUGCAGCUAUGCUUCAUGGCAACAUGGAUCUUUCUAGGUUGAUGGUUUAUGCACAACAAGUAGAGAAGAGUCGUCUAAGGAAGUAUUAUAUAGAAGCUAAGAAGGCAAGGUCAUUUGAAAGUGGUUAUUCUAUGAAUAGGCUUGACAUUCGAGACAAGUAUAACUUCAAAAAGAGGUAUUCAAAGCAAGUUACUUCAAAUUUCUCCAACACUCUCAAUUAAAGGGUUUGUAACGCUAAUUCCCAAAAGGGGAGAAAUUUUUAUUCACUAAGAGAAAGACCUACUUGUGGAAAUAGUGGUAAGAAACAUGUGGGUGAAUGCCUCAUUGGAACAAAUAAUUGCUACAGUUGUGGCAAAAGUGGUCAUAUGGUGAAAGAUUGUAAUAAUGUGAAGGGUCAAGUAAAGGGGAAUAGCCAAGUUCUUCCAUGUGGUUCUAGCUCUGAAGCUCCAAAAAGGAACCGCUUUUAUGCACUCAAAUCUAUGAGUGAACAAGAGAUCUCUCCCGAUAUAGUUACCGGUCCGACCAUUGAACAAUAAAAAGGUCAAUUGAAUAAGCUUGGAAUUCUUUCUCCAUGUGUUGUUGGUUCCUCACAUUCGGGGAUACUAUUUUUUCAUUAUUCUACCAAUGAAGAUUGUAGUAAAUCAAGAGAUACAAUUUUAUUCCUUUUCCGUUGAACUCUAUUAGAGUAAGGCCUAUAUGGAAUAUUCAUAUUGUAUUGCCUAAGUUCAAGUUCGUACUCUUAAGAUGGUUUUUA